GCCGGUCUCUUGAGCGGUACGGAACCACUCCAUCCCAUUCCGAACUGGAUAGUGAAACAUACUAGCGGCGACAAUAGUGCCUUUUCGGUGCGAAGAUAGCUCGGGGCCGGGA
rfam:Microgenomates (Curtissbacteria) bacterium GW2011_GWC2_41_21 TT53_C0041, whole genome shotgun sequence.